rnacentral:lncRNA from 1 species
CAUUCAGCUUGUAGGUGUCAAUUAGUCCAUACAUUUUCUUCAUCUGGGCUUGUUCCUCCAAAUCCUUUGAUUCCUUCCUUCGGUCUCCACCAACAACUACUAGGUUGACCAAUGCACGUAGCUUGGGGUUUUUAGCAUACCACUCAACAAGUCCUGUCAAGUUUUUCACAUUAUCCAACCUUGCCAUAGUGAACAGUAUAGGUUUAUACCUGUCUUUUAAGACACAACUGCAUUCGACAAAAAGAGUGUUGACAUCAGAUUCUAUCCAAUGUAGGGGAAUUAUUUAUUGAUGAGUAAAAAGAGAAUUACAUAUGCUCUUUAUUUUCAACUGAACUGAAAAGGAGGUCUUCGAUUUCAGGGUGAAGUGCUGUCAGCCUCCUUUUCUUUUCCGUGUAGGGGUAGUAGACAGAUGUGUCUGCACCUGGUGACACAAUAUUGAAUUUUGGAUCAAAUACAUCUAUCCCAUGGACAACUCGGUACAAUCCAGGCAUGGUAAAGGCAGUAUGACUCUCAUACUGUCCAACAGUAUCCUUGCUACAAAGAUAAAAAACAAUCCACAAAAUUUAGCAAAACACAUAUGGUUAAAGGUGCAUUUACAGAUGAAUUUAAUAUAUCAUAAGUAAGGACUCGUUUAUUACCUUCCAGCUAUUUCCUGGAAUGUACUGGUGAUGAUGAAAUCAGUAUGAUUCAUUGCGAUAAGAUCAGCUGUAAACUGACUAGAGAAGUGAUACUUCUUAUCGAAUUUUUCCCAAUGAAUGUCAGAAUCAGGGUAUUUUGUUUUCUCUAAAGCAUGCGCAAUAGUACACUGUGACAAGUAAAACUAACAUGAGACAAGGUUCGAGCAAACAUGUGAUUUCAUUCCACACACAUAAUCUGGGCUCAUACCUGGGUUACACCCAAUUUAUUUGCUAGCAAUGAUGCAACAAGAUUCCCCUCACUAUAGUUGCCAAUGAUCAAAUCUGGCUUGGCCUUUAACUCUACUGCAAUUUCUUUUGCAACAUCCUGGAAAUCGUACGCGUUUAAUGUCUGACUAUCUGAGUAACUAGAUAUUAUGCAGAACUUGGUGUAUUAUAGGAAACGAAAGACUAUUGUCUCACCUCUGUGAAAGUCUCCAUGUAGGGCCAAACUUCAAAGCGUGAUAUCCAUUUUCUCAAGAUUCCCCUCUCGGUUCUAAAGGGCACCCGAAGUAUAUGUGAGUGUUCAGCUCCAAACACUUUCUCAAGGCGCAAAUUGCAAGUAGUACCUACUGCAUCUGGCAGAAGGCGUGUCACCUGAGCAUAAAGCAAUAUGCAGUAUAACCAUAAAGGAUGUAUCUGGAUAAAAGUAAAGAAUUAGCAAAAUCAUGCACACUAACAAUUAAUAUGCGAGGUAUGAUAUCAAGUCCUUGCUCCUUUAUACGCUUAGUCAUCUCACGUUCCAUUGCUGGAACUUGAUCCAAAAUGUAGACAACCUAGAGAAGUAUUUCAAAUUAGAAAAUGAAAAUGCACAGCAAUAGAAAUAUUUUUUUCAUCUCUUUCUCAUUUCUCACCUGGCCACCAGUGUCCGGGUAUCCCAAAACAUUCUCUUGAGCAAAGUAACCAUGAGGGGACAGUAUAACAACAUUAAAGAUCAUCGGGAUCUUCCCUAAAAAUGUCUCAAGGGUGCAUGCAUCAGGGGCCUCCAGAAGAUCCAGAAGCAUAUGAAACAUUUCAGAAACAUGCUCAGCGGUAUCACCCCACCCCCUCUCAAAACCAAUCUCUUGGAACUUGUGCUCAAAUUCAGAGUAUGGUGUGUCUGAUGGGAGUUUAGAAAGAUAUUCCCCUGCUAUCCUCAAGAUAUCUUGAAGACCAUUUACUGUUUGAACUCUGUUGUUUAGCAUCAAUGUCUGCAAGAAAUCAUAAAAGUACUGUUAUCUUUAUAUAUUCAGUACACUAUGUUUUCAGUCACAAAAUUUGUAUUGUGUUGUAGUCUUAGUACCCUGCCAUUGUGGUGGUGGAGUCUGAGAAAAUCAAGAAGUGGAUGCAUGCUGUCCUUGUCCUGGAACAUCUUCGCAGAGAGAUGCCUGUUGAGGAACUCAACUCCAUUUCCAAUUGACUUGGUAAGCGUUGGGCGAGGAAUAGAAGCAGUGAAGGGGGCAAAGUCUAGUUCAAGGACAAAGUUGCCAUUGCUUCUUAACAUAUCAAAAGUAUCAUCACUAAAUAUCAUUUUUAUGCUCACUUGAAACAUAAUCUAGAAAAAAAACAUAACGAUACCAAAGAAUCAAACAUACGAUGCAUUGACGAGUUCCUCUUUAAGGUAAAGAUAAUCAGGCACAGUCAGUUCCUCAACAACAAGCUGGUGGACAUCAAGUCUUACAUAUUCCCACACACCAGGCCUGAGCCGGAUAGCAAGUGCUACCCAAGGAGAACAAACUAUGGCUUCCUAUUUAUAGACACAAAUCGAUUUCAUCAACUAAUACGUUCGUAAGAUUCUUGUAAAACAACCAAAAGAUCAAGUAAUCCACACCUGUGUAGAGUUGAGCAGUUGAACAAAGGCAGAAUCUUCUAGUUUGAGCCUGUCAAUUUUGCUAAUUGCUUGAAACUCAGACAAAAGCUGGUGAGGCUUCAAGAUCCCAUUUCCAUGACUUUGGAUUCUAUAAUCCACAAUAUGUAAAAACACAAUUAAUAAAUAUUACUGAAACUGCAGAAAAGAAGAAUAGCAGUGUAAUAGUGGCUCCAUCCAAAAUCUUGACUUUUUUAUGGUCUAAUUGACCAAAUAUUACACAUGUAAUAAAAUUUAUACUACUAAAAGAAUAAAAAGUAAAUGGCAGUCACAUUUCGGUCAAUUUAACCACAAAAAAUUCAAAUAAGACAAACGAUUUGGGACUGGAGGGAGUAUGUUGAAUAGUAGCCACACCUUGAGAGAAACAGAAAGAUCUCCUGGCGGUGAUUGGAGAAAGUUGAUUCGAAACGGUGACGGAUGCUGAGAAGAGGUUGAGCCAUGAGGAGUAUUUAAGCUGUAGAAGGUAGUUUUGACAGUAAAAGUAUUAAACCAACUGAGAAAACCAGACAAGAGAAUGCAUGCAGAUGUACCUUAAAAAACAUGAGUACAAGUUAGACAGCAAAGAAAGUAGCAAGGAAGGAAUUGCAUGGAAAGUGAGUAAAAUGAAAAAGAGUGGUAUGCAUGUUUACCUUUGUUUUGUGGUUGAUGAAAUGAGGUUUGUGAUGACUAAGAGGAGAGUAGUAGCAAGGCUUUAUUUAUUCAUAUAGCAGCUGGCUAGUAUUGGAUGCUAGUUUGGCUGGAUGGAUUGUAUUGGACGCCCUUUUAACCAUUUUUGUAUUGUCCAUUUUCACUUUUCAUCUGUGAAUAUUUGUCUUCUGACAAGCAAUUUAACAAUGCCCGUCCAUUUGUUGACGAUAAAUAUUUCAUUAGCGAAAAUAUAGAAAUCUUAAAAUAAUUUUUAGUCGUGAAUAAAUUGACGCAGAAAUCGAUUUUCUUGAUCAUGACCCUUACUGUUAACUAAUUUACAAUAUAUGCACACCUUGACAAUUUUUUAAUUGGAUGGCAUGUAAUAUUGCUUACCGCUUUCUUGAUAUAUGAUCCUCCACUUUGUUUGAAUACAUUUCUAAUUUUUUUAAAUAAAUUACUUCUGAAAUCAAUCAAUCAUUAAUCAUAUACUUAUAUAAAGGAGAAGCGGGGGCGUGUAGGUGGCGCCUCUCACAUCGCUCCGUUCUAUUUUUCUAAUUUUCUGGAAUUUUUGGAUGAAAAAUAUCAAAAAUUAGAACUACCUUUUUUAGUUUCGGAUAUAUUAGAAGCAAGUUUCAGAAUCUGAUUUUGUUUCAGAUUAUUUAUGGAAUAUAGUAGUUUGAAAGUUUUAAUUUGAUUUUGUUUCAGAUUAUUUAAUUAUGGGAAAAACAAAUUAUUUAUAGAAUAUAGUAGUUUUAAAGUUUUAAUCUAAUUUUGUUUUUGAUUAUUUAAUUAUGAGUUUAUUGCAAAACGCACCCUUUUGGAUUUCCGAAAAAGCAUUUACGGCCUAUACUUUACAUAAUUGCAAGUUGCAACCCGCUGGUUCGUUAGACGCGUCACUUUGCACCCCUUCCGUUAAUUUUGACUAUUAACGUUAAAAGUCUCAGGGGUAAUUUGGGAUUUUUUAAAAAAUUAAUUUUAACCAGAUUUUAUUUAAUUUUUUCAACCCUCUAAAUGAUAUUUUUUGAAAAAUCUUAAAAAACGAAAGUUCUAGAUAAUGAAAAGAUCUUUUUAAAACAAAGAACCAUCUUUUUUAGUUUCGGGUAUAUUAGAAGCAAGUUUCAGAAUCUGAUUUUGUUUCAAAUUAUUUAUAGGAUAUGGUAGCUUGAAAGUUUUAAUCUGAUUUUGUUUCAGAUUAUUUAAUUAUGGUAAAAAGUAGCAUACAAGUCUCUCUGCACCUAUAAAUACCCCUAUAGAUUGUAGGGUUUUGGAUCAUCUAAACACAACCUCCUCUCUCUUAGUACCACAACCCUACCUCUCUCCGGUGAUAGUUCUCUUGAUCGAUUUCUAACUCGGAGGUGCCGUUGUUAUGCAACGAUAAGUGAAGGUUGUUUAUACAGUAUUAAAAAAAUAAAGAUUAUUGCAAGCAAAGGUAGUUAUAGACCACUAUAUUGGAGUCGACAAAUCCAAACGCGGGGAAAGAAUAUAGUCGUGACAUGAGAUUGAUGGUUAAUAUCAAUAAAUUAACUAUUAGUGAUGUAUGUUUGUUGAUUAUUUUUUUAUAAUAUUUGUUUUGUUCAUCGGACAUGUUUGUUGUUAAUUUUUAUAUGAUUAAUUUUGUAUACACGAAAAAAUUAUUCAUGCAUUAACUGUUUGCUCCGUUCAAGCAACUUAUAAGUAAAAGUUGUUUAAGAUGUGUGAUCAGCAAGAGUAUCAGCUGAGUGAAGAAUGACAGCUAGCACUGCCGCAUCAGCCAAGUUGGUUACAAAGCUGUUACUUGACAGUUGGCAAUUCACCACCUCUUGCCUAACUGAUUACUGCAUAUAUAACAGCCAUGCUGUAGUCUUAAUAGUUAGUCAGAAAGAAUAGAGAGAAUCAGUUUCAUAGAUGUAGCUUUGUAAUGCAGUUCUUCAUUACUUCUUUCAUCCUAUCCAGUGUAUACAAACAGUUCAUACAGUCUGUAAUGGUUGAUUAGUGUUUGAUAAUGGAAGAUUUGCAAUGUUUUCGACGUAUUGUAACAUGGUAUCAGAGCGUAUGGAUGUUUCGAUCUGAUCUUCCAUUGUUUUAGUUCUUGAUUUCAAGGUAUCAACUUCGUUUUCACCAGUAUUUUGUUGAAUUUCUCGAUUUGUGUCUCCUGAGAGUACUGUUUUUUUUCUUUUCACGAUAUUGUGAUUUCUUGAUUCUGCUGUUGAUUUCUGUGAGUUUGUGAUAUUGAAUCGAUCUCUGUGCUUAAGAGAUUUGCGACAUUUGUGAUUUGAGAAGUAUUCUGUUCAUUUCUUCGAUUAUCUGUGCAUUUGUUGUUAUGGCUGCCAUUGAUCCUUCUCAGAAUCCUAUUUCUCCAUAUUACAUUCAUCCUUCUGAUAAUCCUGGCAUGAAGCUGGUUUCUAUUCAAUUUGAUGGCACUGGAUACAGUGAUUGGAAACGUUCUCUAUUGAUAAGUUUGUCAGCUAAGAAUAAGAUUGGUUUUGUUGAUGGUUCCAUUGAGAAACCAGAUGUUCUUGAUGUUACAAAUAAAGCUUGGGAAAGAUGUAAUAGUAUGAUGAUUUCUUGGAUUUUGGGAGUGCUGGACCAAACAAUUGCAAGAAGUGUUCUGUACUUUAAGACAGCAAGAGAAAUUUGGUUGAAUUUGGAAGAAAGGUAUGGACAAGCUUCAGGGACAGUCUUGUAUGCUGUUCAGCAAGAUUUGUACAAGUUAAAGCAAGGUCAAGAUUCUGUUUCUAGCUAUUACACAAAGAUAAAGAUGAUUUGGGAUGAAUUGGAUGCUAUAGAUCCAAUACCUGUUUCUGAUUGUACACAUUGUACAGGCACUUUAAUUCAGAAGUUGAUUAAAUCUCAAGAAGACAGAAGACUUGUGGAUUUUCUUAUGAAGCUAAAUGAUGGAUUUGAGAUAAUGAGGGGUAAUAUUCUGGUUAUGUCUCCCCUUCCAUCAAUUUCUCAUGUGUAUAGACUUUUGUUGCAGGAAGAAAGUCACAAGAAACUCUAUCAACCUCCUACACAGUCUAAUGAUGAGGUUAUGGCAUUUGCUGCUAAUAGGAAGUUUUUUAGGCAAUCUGGUAAUACAGAUCAAAAGUCCAAAUACAAUCAAUAUUUUUGUGAUCACUGUAAGACACCAGGGCACACUGUUCAGAGAUGUUAUAAAUUGCAUGGAUAUCCUGCUAAUUUCAAGACAGACAGAGACAAAAGGGUUGCUGCUAAUGUGCAUUUGGAUAAUGAUGACAACACUAGUGAAAUUGCAGGACAGAAAGAUGAAGGGUUCACUGCUACUCAAUACUCUCAACUGCUGAAGCUAUUAGGAAAAGAAAACAUCAAUUUGGAUGGUACUAUUGCAAAGGCUGCAAAUGUUGCAGGUAAAAUUUGUCUUGUUUCUUUUAAGCAUUCUUGGAUAGUGGAUAGUGGAGCCACAGAUCACAUGUGCUCUGAUUUUUCCCUAUUUACUAAAUGCAAAGCUGUAACUGGAUCUGCAAAUUACAUUACUAUUCCAAAUGGGAAACAGGUAUUAGUCACACAGAUGGGGGAUAUUCAUAUUUGUGGUAACUUGAUUUUGAGAGAUGUUUUGUAUGUUCCAGAUUUCAAGUUCAAUCUGGUUUCUAUACCAAAACUGUGUCAGGAUAUGCACUGUACAGUUUCUUUUACUGAUAACCAAUGCUUUCUUCAGAACAAUUCAAUGAAUCAACAGCUUCUUGGUGAACUGAAAGAGGGUCUGUACUAUUUGGCUGAACCUGAGCAUUCACCAGACUGUAUGGUGGCAAAGUCAAUGACAGAGGAAUCACAAAACAAGAUCAAGUUGUGGCAUCUAAGAUUGGGGCACAUUCCUGUUUCUAUGCUUCAUCAUGUCAAAACAAUUUUUCAAGAACCUUGUACUCUACAUAAUAUUUGUCAAGUUUGUCCAGUUGCUAAGCAAGCUAGAAAUCCUUUCUAUACUAGUUCUGUUAAGACUUCUUCAAUUUUUUCAUUGCUACACAUGGAUGUAUGGGGACCAUAUAAGGAGUCUACAUAUAAUAAAUGCAGAUUUUUUCUUACUAUAGUGGAUGACUUCACUAGAAUGACUUGGGUUUUUCUAUUGCAACACAAAUCUGAUGUAGUUCAAACCUUCAAAGAUUUUGUUCAACAUGCUGAGAAUAGGCAUACUGCACACAUUCAAGUGGUAAGAACUGAUAAUGGUACAGAGUUUUGUGGAGGAGCAAUGCAAGAAUAUUUACUUCUCAAAGGAUUUGAACAUCAAAAGACUUGUGUUUAUACUCCACAGCAGAAUGGGGUGGUUGAAAGGAAGCACAGACAUUUACUAGACACAGCUAGAGCUUUAUUUUUUCAAUCAAAAGUUCCAAUUGAAUUCUGGGGAGAAUGUGUCUUAGCUGCUACACACAUUAUUAACAGAUUGCCUCUCACUGUUCUUAAUAAUGUUAGUCCUUAUGAGAAAUUUUUUCAUGAUCCUCCUGACUUAUCUUCUAUGAGGGUAUUUGGCUGUUUAUGCUUUGUCUCUAAUCUUGAUCCUCACAAGAAAAAGUUUGAUGUCAGAGCUGUUCCACAUGUCUUCAUUGGUUACCCUCCUGGUCAGAAGGGCUAUAAGGUACUGAACACUCAAACUAUGCAAGUAUCUGUGUCAAGGGAUGUUAAGUUCCAUGAACAGCAUUUUCCUUUCCACUUACAGUCUGUUACUCAUGAAAACCAGUUUAAGUUUUUCCUUCCUAUCACAACUAGUCAGACUGACUUUGACUUCUCUGAUAUUCCUGAGAUUUUUACUCAAAAUAUUUCAGAUGACAAUUCUGCAGAUGAUUAUUUUAAUCAUGUUAAUUCCAGUCAUGAAACUCAUGGUUCUUCUUCUAGUUCUUCUAGCUCUUCUAAUUCUUUAAUAGAUACAAGAAGAAGUACCAGAGUAUCCAAGCAGCCUAUAUUCCUGCAGGAUUAUAUUUGCAAUACCAGUCAGCUCAAUUUUAAGGAGAGAGAACAUUGGUGUAAUCUCAUUUCUUCUCAUUAUCUGCCUCUUGCUCAUCAUUCUUUUUUAGCACAGACUGAUUCAUUGGUUGAGCCUAAGACAUAUGCAGAAGCUUGUAAAGAUUCUAGAUGGAUUACAGCAAUGCAGAAAGAAUUACAAGCUCUACAAGAUAACCAUACUUGGGACUUAGUUCCAUUACCUAAAGGCAAGAAGGCAAUAGGAUGUAAGUGGGUUUUUAAGAUCAAAUUAAAGGCAGAUGGCUCUGUGGAAAGAUUCAAAGCUAGAUUGGUAGCAAAGGGCUACAAUCAGCAAUGGGGAAUUGACUAUCAAGAAACUUUUUCACCAGUCAUAAAAAUGACCACUGUAAGAUGCUUAUUGGCUUUAGCUGCACACAAGCACUGGUUUUUACAUCAGUUAGACAUCAAUAAUGCAUUUUUACAUAGGGAUUUAGUGGAAGAAGUUUACAUGAUGGUUCCUGAAGGUUAUGAUAAUCCUCAUAAUCUUGUUUGUAGACUUGUAAAGUCAAUUUAUGGUCUCAAACAAGCCUCAAGACAGUGGAAUGCAAAAUUACAAGGUGAACUGCAAUUAAGGGGGUAUAUACAGUCCAAAAAUGAUUAUUCACUCUUCAUCAAGAAGAAUAAUCUGCUUACAACUAUAAUUGCAGUUUAUGUUGAUGAUAUCAUACUAACUAGAGAUGAUAAGGAAGAAAUUCAGAAUCUCAAAAUGCAUCUUCAUGACACUUUCAGUAUCAAGGAUCUAGGCCAGCUGAGCUUCUUUCUGGGAAUAGAAAUUGGUUACUUAGAAACUGGUAUUUCUAUGUCACAAAGGAAGUUUACAAAAGAACUGUUAAAGGAAGCAAGGAUAGAGAUUGGUUCUCACAAAUCAGUAGUCACACCACUUCCCAUCAACUUGAAACUUACUGCAGAAGGUGGUGAUGAGUAUUCUGAUCCCUCAAUAUACAGAUCUCUGGUAGGAAAACUAAAUUUCCUAACUCACACAAGACCUGAUUUGUCAUUUACUGUUCAACAUCUUAGUCAGUUUCUACAGUGUCCAAGAGUUCCACACUACCAAGCCCUCUUACACACUCUCAAUUAUGUGGCCUCUACAGCUGGACAAGGCAUUAUUCUUAAUGCAAGCAAUAAAUUGAUUCUACAAGCUUUUACUGAUUCAGAUUGGGGAGCAUGUCAAGAUACAAGAAGAUCAAUAUCAGGCUACAUUAUGUUACUUGGGAAAUCUCCAAUCAGUUGGAAAUCUAAGAAGCAAGGAAUUGUAUCCAAGAGUUCUGCAGAAGCAGAAUAUCGAGCUAUGUCUGUAGCAUCAUCUGAGAUUACAUGGUUAGUUCGGCUGCUUAGUGAGCUUGGCUUAGACAUGCAUGAUCCAGUCACACUCCACUGUGAUAAUCAGAGUUCUAUACAUAUUGCUAAGAAUCCUGUGCAACAUGAACGAACAAAACACAUAGAGAUUGAUGUGCAUUUCACAAGGGAUAAAGUACUGGAAGGACUAAUACAACUUGCGUAUUUGCCUACUAACUCUCAAAUUGCUGAUAUUUUUACCAAAAUUCUACCAUCAGCACAGUUUCAGGAACUCCUAACCAAACUAGGAAUGUCAGAAUGUCAUUCCAGUUUGAGGGGGGAUGUUAAGAUGUGUGAUCAGCAAGAGUAUCAGCUGAGUGAAGAAUGACAGCUAGCACUGCCACAUCAGCCAAGUUGGUUACAAAGCUGUUACUUGACAGUUGGCAAUUCACCACCUCUUGCCUAACUGAUUACUGCAUAUAUAACAGCCAUGCUGUAGUCUUAAUAGUUAGUCAGAAAGAAUAGAGAGAAUCAGUUUCAUAGAUGUAGCUUUGUAAUGCAGUUCUUCAUUACUUCUUUCAUCCUAUCCAGUGUAUACAAACAGUUCAUACAGUCUGUAAUGGUUGAUUAGUGUUUGAUAAUGGAAGAUUUGCAAUGUUUUCGACGUAUUGUAACAUUACAGUAUUAAAAAAUAAAGGUUGUUACAAACAAUGGUAGUUAUAGACCGCUAUCUCACACAUUUAAGUUAGAUGUUUUUGUGCACAAUCAAUCCAAAAAAAUUGGAGGAAAGUGACAAUGUAAGAACAUGAUUACUUUUCAAAAAAAUAAUAAUAAAUAAAAUUAAGAUUAAAUUGUUAAUUACAUGUAUAAAUUUAUUUUCAUUUUUCACCAUGAAUUAUAAUCUAAUUUUGCAAUUUUAUAUAUUAGUAUUGCUAUUACCUCAAGAUUUUUAUAAUAUAAAUUUAUUUUAUCCUACAAAUAUUAAUUUUGAAACAUUAAUAUACUUUUUAUAGACAACCACAAAAUUAUUUUAUUCUAAAAAUAUUAAUAUUGAAUCAUUAAUAUAAUUUUUAUAGGCCGCCACAACGCGCGGUUUCUCAACUAGUAUACUUAUAUAAAGGAAAAGCGAAGGGCGUGUAGGUGGCGCCUCUCACAUCGCUCCAUUCUAUUUUUCUAAAUUUCCUGAAAUUUUUGGAUGAAAAAUACCAAAAAUUAGAACUACUUUUUUUAGUUUCGGAUAUAUUAGAAGUAAGUUUCAGAUUAUUUAUGGAAUAUAGUAGCUUGAAAGUUUUAAUUUGAUUUUGUUUCUAUAUAAUUUGAUUUUGUUUCAGAUUAUUUAUGGAAUAUAGUAGCUUGAAAGUUUUAAUUUGAUUUUGUUUCCAUAUAAAGGAGGAGCGAGGGGCGUGUAGGUGGCGCCUCUCACAUCGCUCCGUUUUAUUUUUCUAAUUUUCUAAUUUUCUGAAAUUUUCAGAUGAAAAAUAUCAUAAAUUAGAACUGCUUUUUUUAGUUUCGGAUAUAUUAUAUAAAGGAAAAGCGAAAGGCGUGUAGGUGGCGCCUCUCACAUCGCUCUAUUCUAUUUUUCUAAUUUUCUGGAAUUUUUGGAUGAAAAAUACCAAAAAUUAGAACUACUUUUUUUAGUUUCGGAUAUAUUAGAAGUAAGUUUCAGAAUCUGAUUUUGUUUCAGAUUAUUUAUGAAAUAUAGUAGCUUGAAAGUUUUAAUUUGAUUUUGUUUCUAUAUAAUUUGAUUUUGUUUCAGAUUAUUUAUGGAAUAUAGUAGCCUGAAAGUUUUAAUUUGAUUUUGUUUCUAUAUAAAGGAGGAGAGAGGGGUGUGUAGGUGGCGCCUCUCACAUCGCUCCGUUUUAUUUUUCUAAUUUUCUAAUUUUCUGAAAUUUUCAGAUGAAAAAUAUCAAAAAUUAGAACUGCCUUUUUUAGUUUCGGAUAUAUUAGAAACAAGUUUCAGAAUCUGAUUUUGUUUCAGAUUAUAUAUGAAAUAUAGCAGCUUGAAAGUUUUAAUCUGAUUUUGUUUCAGAUUAUUUAAUUAUGAGAAAGAGUAGCACACAAGUCUUUCUGCACCUAUAAAUACCCCUAUAGGUUGUAGUGUUUUGGAUCAUCUUAACACAACCUUCUCUCUCAGUAUCACAACCCUAGCUCUCUCUGGUGAUAGUUCUAUUGCUCGAUUUCUAACUCGGUGUUGCCGUUCUUCUGGGGAAGGCUGUUUAUACAGUAUUAAAAAAAAUAAAGGUUGUUGUAAGCAAAGGUAGUUAUAGACGGCUAUGUGGGAGUCGACAAAUCCAAAUACGGGAGAAGAAUAUAGUCUUGACAUCAUAUUGAUGGAUGAUAUCAAUAAAUUAACUAUUGGUGAUGUAUGUUUGUUGGUUAUUCUUUUAUAAAAUUUGUUUUGUUCAUCGGACAUGUUUGUUGUUGUUAAUUUUUAUAUGAUUUACUUUGCACACAAGAAAAUAUUAUUCAUGCAUUAUCUGUUUGCUCCGUUCAAACAACUUUUAAGUGAAGACUGUUCAUACAGUAUUAAAAAAUAAAGGUUGUUGCAAGUAAGGGUAGUUAUAGACCGCUAUCGCACGGAUUUAAGUUAGAUGUUUUUGUGCACAAUCAAUCCAAAAAAAUUGGAGGAAGGUGACAAUGUAAGAACAAGAUUACUUUUCAAAAAAUAAAAACACAAAUAAAAUUAAGAUUUAUCGUGCUUUAAAUUGUUAAUUACGUGUAGAAAUUUAUUUUCAUAUUUUCAACAUGAAUUAUAGUCUAAUUUUGCAAUUUUAUAUAUUAGUAUUGGCAUUACAUCAAGAUUUUUAUAAUAUAAAAUUUAAUUUAUCCUACAAAUAUUAAUUUUUAAUCAUUAAUAUAUUUUUUAUAUACAGCCACAAAAUUGUUGCAUUCUACAAAUAUUAAUAUUAGAUCGUUAAUAUAAUUUUUAUAGGCCGCCGCAACGCGCGGCUUCUCAACUAGUUAAUCAUACAGAAUAAUAAUUUAGUCUUUUACAUGCCGCUUUAGUUUAAUACUCCCUCUGUCCCUCUCAUUUCUUUACGGUUUUUUUCCAAUGCUUGACACGCAUUUUAAGGAGUAUAUAAAACAUAGUUUUGUAAUUUAUUUUUGAAAUUUUCUUUUUCUGUAUAAAAAUUUAAACAUCAAACUUUUAUUCAGAAGAAAAAAAUAUUCUGAAUAAUUUAUAAAACUAUGUUUUCUGAGAGUAUUAAAAUGUGUGCCGAACCCCCGUCUCUCAAUGUAAACAAUUGAGGGGGACGGAGGGAGUAUAUAUUUUGUUGAUCUACUUUAAACAAUACAAGAACUAACAAUCCAAGUGUCCAACUUUACUACCUGCAUUCUAAGAAUCACAUUCCCCCGCCAAUUUUCAGACACGUAAAAAAUAGGAAGUAUUAUUUUAGUUUAGAAUCACGAUUUUUGUUCACCCUUUUCCUUUUUGUUUUGCUAAAAUUGUCCCAUUUAUAAAUAAUCGGAACUAAUACGCGAACAUAUGAGUUAGUCAUUAGUCGGAAAAUUAAAGAUUAGUCAGAAUGAUUAGUUCUAUCUAAUCGAAAUUAAUUUAACAUUAUUUAUAAUAAUUAUAAUUAUAUGUAUAUAUAUAUUUAUAUAUAUUUAUAAUAAUUAUAAUUAUAUAUAAUUAUUUUUUAAAUAUUAUUUAGAAGGAAAAAAUACGUUCAAAUGUCGACAAUAAGCAUGAGUGCAGUUUUUAAAUUAUAAUAUUUAAAACUGUUAAUCAAAGUAAAUUAAAGUAAGAUCGUUAAAAAUAAUUUAUAAAUUGAGAAAGCCCCCACUGUAUUGGAUCCCCGGACUAAACAAAAUUUUAAUGUUAUAAUAUAUUUUUCAUUGUUAAUAUUUUUUUAAUAAUAUGAUAUGUACCAUCUAUGUAGCAUAUGAUCUAGGAAUCCAUAAAAGAUCGCAAGACUGGUAAAAAGAUGCAUCAUGCAUGUCCGCCUGUGACUUGUGACUUGUGAGUUGGGCUGUUAUUCGGUCCGGGCGAGCCAAGUUUCGAGUCGGGCAUAAUUCGAGCAGAGUUUUAUUUAGUCGAGCCGAGCCGGCUCGUUUAAGAAAACGAGCCUAAAUCUUUGCCCGAACUUGACUCGUUUAUUUUCACGAGUCGAGUCGAGCUGGCUCGUUUAGCUAAACGAGCCGAGUUUAACGAGUCGGGCGAGCCGGCUCGUUUAAUUUAACACUAAAUCGAGUCUAAAAUGCUACCCGAAUCCGACUCGUUAAUUUUCACGAGUCGAGCCGAGCCAGCUCGUUUAACAAAACGAGCCAAAAUCUCUGCCCGAACUCGAGCUCGAUUAACUAAACGAGCCGAGCCGAGCCCAUCAAAACGAGUUCGAGCCGGGCGAGCUCGCGAGCUGCCCGGAUCGGAUUACAGCACUACUUGUGAGGGUGUCCAUCUACGAAUGCAAGAUGAUCAUAUUAUUCCUUACAUUUUUAAUAUCUAAGAUAGAUUCUAUGUGCAGGUCUCGACUACAAUGUAAAGAAAACCUUUUUGUAUUAUUUAAACGAAUUUUUUAUGAUUUGUUCAAAAAGAAAAUACUACUCCUCAGUCCCAUUUAAUUCUAUACACUUUCCUUUUUGGGAUGUCAUACUUUUUUUUUGACAAUGCAGGCUUAUAUGCCUUACAACUUAGUAUCUGUUCUAAUAAUUCUCGGGGCGAGCCAGAGUCGAACCCGGGUGCCCCGGAUCAACAGAGGAUAAACCCACCACUGGGCAUAUUAUAUAUAUUUAUAUAUAUUCCACUAUCUCUCUUUUAUAUAUUAAAAAUUAAUGGUUCCCACUACUAUACCCACUUUUUUUUCUCUUUCCCAUUAUUUCAUACUACUUUAUACACUUUUCUUAGUCUCCGUGCCCAUUUUGUAUGUAUAUUAUUCAAGGGGACGGAGGGAGUAACUUUUUAUUGGUGGAUGAAUAAUAAAUGUAAGUGGUCCUACGGCUAUGCAUUCACAUCAAUUCCAAAUCAUUUUUACGAGAUUUGGUAUUUAUUGUGUGCAGGGCUGGCCUUAGAAAUUUGGGUGCCCAGACGAAUUUUGAAAAUAAUGCCUCUAUUGCUCAAGAUUGUGAGGAAAAAAUUUACAUAUAUUUAAAUCAAUAUACAAUGACAUAAUAAAAAUCUUAUUUUAAUAUCAACACAAUCAAUUCAAACAUGCAAACAUAGAUUUAUCAUUAUACUGUAUAUGCACAUAUUUUUUUAAUGCCCCUAAAAUAGUAAUGUCCCAGGCAUUCAUCUUAGUCACCUUAUCCAAAAACCUUAGCCCUGAUUGUGUGUCUUGGGCACACAUCAGGAAACCGUUACUUAAAUGCAUGAGUGCAUAGGAAUCGGAAUUAGUUGAUUUAUUUAUUAAUUAGAUAUUUAUCAAAAAAUUGAUAGAGAUUUUUAAAGUGGAGAUAGUCAAAUUGAAAUGUGAUUGAUAAAUUGGUGAAGAAAUUUUAAAAAUAAUUCAGAAUUUUUUAAUAAAUCAUAGAUAUUUGGGACAUUGAUUAAAUAUAAAAAUUCGAUUAACGGAAAAUAAUCGGUGAAUUUUAGAUUAAAUAAAUUUCUGAAAAUGACCCAUAACCGGACCUCAAUCGGGUUGUAGUGUUUGGAUCAAAUUUGAUGAAAAUCAGAUGAAUUGGAAAAGGAAUUAUUUUCAGCUAAAUGUCAGAUCAGAUUUAAUACAAUAUUAUUCCUCUAGACUUCAGAGUAUUGCAAGUAAUUUAUUUCCUUGGUCGUAACUGAUAAAAUUAGAUGUGAAAUAAUUUCAUAACAGAAGAAUCAAAAGCGAACACUAUGAUGUACAGUAGUAAACAGCAACUACUGAAAAUUUUAUUCUGAAAUUUCAGAAAUUUGAGCAACAAUAUUGUAGCGGCAAAUGAUAAAGAAAGCAGAACCCCCGUUUUAAAAACACCAACAAGAAAAAAAAUGCAACAAAGAAUUUAACAUAACUAACAGGGGUUGGUCAAAAUCUCAAUCAGAACACAAGUCACUUAGACACUAGAAAAAAACAGAAUGUUCAUCAUCAGAAUAUAACUUCUUUUCUUUGUUUGCGAAAACAUCAGAAACUUUGCUUGAAUAGCAGAUUCUUGUUCUCUUUUACUCAUCAACAGCAAGUGGAACUGAUUCAGCCUGAAAAGCCAAGCAACCAAAGAUUAAAAAUGCUUCAUCAGUACAAUGUUUCCAGCAAUAUGUGUAAACUAUCAAAGCUCGGGGCCAAUAUAACAUUCCAACUCUUAAGAGCAUAGUACAUUUUAAGUUACUUGAGAACAAAUGAGGUGUUAAAGGAUUUUGGAUAAGAAAAAAACUAACCAACUGGCGAUACUUGAGAGCAUAGAACAUUUCAAGAUAACGACGGAUCUCAAGGCGAUCAAGCUUGGAGACAUGUUUCCAGAAUCCGUAUACCCCAGCCAAUGUCAACAGCCUUUCAGAAUAGAUUUGCCAAGUGUAUCUAUAAGAACAAAUAGGGUUGUUACUUGUUAGUGAUAUAAUGUAAUUAUCUUGUGAUUAACACAUAUGAAUGAUGUUGGGCUUACUUCUCCUGGAUACGUUUCAGGCCACCAGCUGAAAUAGUCUCCCAGUGAGAAGGUUCAGUCUUGCACUUCUCGAAGAAAUUAACAAGGAGCUCAGCCACUUGGUCACCAUGAUAAGGGUCGAUAUGGAAACCAGACUUUCCAUGAACAAUGAUCUCAGCUGGACCGCCAUGAAGAGUUGCAAAUGUUGGCAAACCGCAAGUCAUGGCCUCAACAACAGUCAAACCGAAGGCCUCAUAAAAUGCAGGUUGCACAAAAGCACCCCUCGUGUCGGCUAUAUAACGAUAAAGUUCACCAUUCCUUACGCGGUUCAUCUGAGAAGAGAUCCAUCUGAAUUGACCAUUCAACUUGUAGGUGUCAAUAAGCUCAUACAUUUUCUUCAUCUGUGCUUGUUCUUCCAAAUCCUUUGAUUCCUUCCUUCGGUCUCCUCCAACAACUACAAGGUUGACCAACUCACGUAGCUUGGGAUUCUUAGCAUACCACUCAACAAAUCCUGUUAAGUUCUUCACAUUGUCCAGCCUUGCCAUGGUGAACAGUAUAGGCUUAUUCCUGUCCUUGAUUACACACCUGCAUUGAUAAAAAAAAUGUAUUUUCAGUUGGAAACUAUCCAAGUCAGGCCAAAAGUUAUGCGCUAGUGUGUGUGCGCGCGCGCGCGUGUGUGUGUGUGUGAGAGAGAGAGAGAGAGACAGAGAGAGAACUUACAGGUGUUCCUCAUUCUCAACCGAACUAUAAAGAAGGUCCUCUAUCUCUGGGUGGAGUGCUGUCAGCCUCUUUUCCUUUUCCGUGUAAGAGAAAUAGACAGAAGUGUCUGCGCCUGGCGAGACAAUGUUAAAUUU